AGCGAACGCUGGCGGCAGGCCUAACACAUGCAAGUCGAACGAACCUUUCGGGGUUAGUGGCGGACGGGUGAGUAACACGUGGGAACGUGCCUUUAGGUUCGGAAUAACUCAGGGAAACUUGUGCUAAUACCGAAUGUGCCCUUCGGGGGAAAGAUUAAUCGCCUUUAGAGCGGCCCGCGUCUGAUUAGCUAGUUGGUUGAGGUAAUGGCUCACCAAGGCGACGAUCAGUAGCUGGUCUGAGAGGAUGAUCAGCCACAUUGGGACUGAGACACGGCCCAAACUCCGACGGGAGGCAGCAGUGGGGAAUCUUGCGCAAUGGGCGAAAGCCUGACGCAGCCAUGCCGCGGGAAUGAUGAAGGUCUUAGGAUUGUAAAAUUCUUUCACCGGGGACGAUAAUGACGGUACCCGGAGAAGAAGCCCCGGCUAACUUCGUG
rnacentral:rRNA from 1 species